CUGAAGUUCAGAGACUUCACAAACCGCUACAAGGAAGUCAUCAUCACUUUACAACCGGUCGACCCAUUUGAAGUUCUAUACCUUCUUGCCGUAGACUGCCUGCAGUUAUUUCCAUUCCAAAAUUCCCACAAGAUGUCCAGAGUCGCUUGGAUCUCAAAGAACCAGUCCAGAAAGAACAGAAGUACCGAAACAAAAUAAUUGGGACUCUUUAUGAAAUGCUGUCACAGUACACAAUGUACCCAACCCACUCAGACUACAUCCAGGUCAUCAAAGCCCUGAUUGUGAAGUAUCCUUUCUUAAGAGAUGUACACGGAAAUGGUUAUGACACCUGGCACAGCCAACUCAAGAGAAAGUUCAAAGCAGAACGGGCUCCCCUAAUCAGCAACGAAGAAGUGAACCGGGUUAAAGAAAAGUUUGGGCGCACGCAGAAACAUCGGACCACAGAGGAAUCCAGCAGCUCCUGUCUGAAGAGACUGAAGCCCUCUCUCGUAAAUCCUCACACCCUCAGCCUCUAAGAGCUAAGGAUUCGUGCUUUGUGGG